CAGGAAGCAGCAGGGCAGCUCUGGAAACCGCAGGCAGAGGAAGUGCGGAAACCAGACUUCACUUACCGCAGGAUUUUGCCUAGAGCUGCCCUACAUGAAACAGCCAGAAAUAAUUUCAAGACCACAGAAGUGCUGAGUUUUUAGUGGUGGCAGAUCCCUGCUGACAUCCCACCGGGCGUGUUUGAUGGCUUCCCUCUACUCCACACCAGAUGCCUCUGGAUGAUAUGAGCUCAGAAUGCACUUCUCCCACAAGCUCAAAAGAGGCCACAGCGUGAGCAGGUCCCAUCUGCCAAGGGAUUCCACCGCUUGCAUGGAGGCACCAGCAGCCAUUUCUCUAGUUUACGUUGGUGUGAAGCUUUCCAGCAGAAUAAAAGAUGCCAUGAAGUAAACAGGCCUCCUAUGCCACACAUUCUCACUGUGAUGUACUGUGCCAGUACUGUGAUGUACUUGACCGAAAGCAACAGGGCCAAGCAACCAUGGACUGAAGCCUCUGAAACUAGUAUCGUCCUGCUGACAAUCCUUUCCUAGGACUGCCUGUUGCCACCAGGAAAAAGAUGCCACAGAAAGUUCCCACCGGACGAAACCAGCUGCCCAGAUUUUCUUCUCAGGAAGAUUUGGGAGAAAAUUUCCCAUGAAAAAAUUUGCUAUAUGAUUUUAAUAUUUUUGUUAUUUUCAUUUUAACAAUUAUUGCAGCCAAACUAGCCAGUGACAAAAUAACUGAAAAUGAUUGUGAAUGCAUAAAAUUUAUAUGAAAUGUGAAAGUCUUUGGCCCUACUUUUUGGAAGUUAAAUGUCCCAAUAAGAAGAACCAUAAUUUUAGCAUGGAACAAAAUGUAUGUUUUUGUGUUAAUUAUAUUGAAAACAUGCAUAUUUGAAUCGAUCCUCAGUUUAUCUUGUAUUUUCACACACAAAAGAAGUUAACUCAGAAUUUUUAAGAUUUCACCAAUGGAAUAAAUUUGAAUUCUCUGAACCUGAAAAGAUAGUUUCAAUAUAUAUGAAGAAUUAUAUUUACAUUAAUGUAUAUGUAACGUGGGAGCAAAAGACCACAAAACUUCCACCGUGAAAUAACAAAUGAGAAAACAUUUGUUGAAGUCAGUUUUCCAGUGUGGUUACAGUUAUGAGGUAGAAAUGGAAAGUGUCUUUCUGAAUCUCCUUGCUUUGUAUCCUUUCCCAUUAAAGGGCAAUGAAAACUACUAGGAUUUGUACUUAUUAAAGAUUCCAAAAAUUUAAAACAAAAUGCUUAGUUUCAAAAGCUGAAGUCUGCAGUCACCAGGUCCUUUCGGUGAAAACAGUUGUCUCAUCACUUUACUUCUGGGAGAGCUGCUUGGCACAUAGUGAACAGGAAUGAAAACAUGAGACAGCAGAAAAUCUAAGACAGUGCAGUCUGACAGGCAUCCUUUUGUAAUCAGUAAUGGAAUAGCUGGAACGCUACCUUUAUACGCAGAAGUUUCUG
ensembl:lncRNA